UCGAAAACGUUUUUUAUUUAAUUACUUCGGCUUUUAAAUCUCUUGAUUACAGCAUCUGGGGUAUCCUUUUUUCUAAAAUAACUAGACUUUAUAUUAGACCACAGGACCAUGUAAGACUGUUGCUCUAAGUUGCCUUUAGUUAGCGUCUUUAUAAAUCAAGCGCAGGUUUGACCAAUUCACCACAUUUCAUUAAAAUCAUUGUGAAACUGUUAGAACUGAUAUCCUGAGGUAAUUGAUUUUUAACCUGUGUAAACAGGACAUGGUAACAAUUAUAUAAAUUCCUUGAGGGGCUGCAUUAGAUAAGAUUUCUAUGCCCAGUUUACAAGACACCACUAAUGGAGGUGUAACUUGUAUUGGAUGGAAAUUCUUCUCAGAAGUGUCCCUUUUUGACACCUUGUUACCUUUAGCAUUGAUAUCGAUAUUAUCACGCUGUGUCUCCAUGAUGUAAACCUCGAAAUUGCAUCAGCGUGGGAUUAAAAAACAAUUUAUAGUAACAAUUGAAAACAAUUACCAUAGUAAAUUGUAAUUCCAAUUUCCCCUUUCCUGUCCGAUUGUGCAUGCAAUAACUCCUGUUGUACAAAAACAUUGUUAGGUGAAGCUGUCUCAGUUGCCCAUCAUGUGCAAUUGUGUCCUGCAAUGGAUUGCCCUCCUAUCUAGUCUGUCUUCUACCUUGUGCCCAGUGAUUCCUCAGAAAUGGUUACUGAAGAUGGAUUUUGAUACAGUGCUUCCAUGCUAGCAGUGCCUGUGUGAUCCGACCUGCAUUGUGUUUUUCAGCAUUUCAAAAAGAGCAGUCAAUUAGAAAGCUCACAUAAGUGCAGGCUGCCAAUCAGCAACUGUGAUAGGAGGAGCAGAAAACAGAGAGAACCAAUCAAAAAGUGCUGGAGCUGCAGGCUGUCGGCCACCUUGUCUGGCUUCCCGUGGCGUGGGGAGAGGUUCAGCAGGCUGAGGACGUCGCUUCCUUGCACAGUCAUGGCACCAGGACCUCUGCGAAAGGCCCGG